AACGAACGCUGGCGGCGUGCUUAACACAUGCAAGUCGAACGGAAAGGCCCUGCUUUUGUGGGGUGCUCGAGUGGCGAACGGGUGAGUAACACGUGAGUAACCUGCCCUUUACUUUGGGAUAACUUCAGGAAACUGGGGCUAAUACCGGAUAGGAGCUCCUGCUGCAUGGUGGGGGUUGGAAAGUUUCGGCGGUUGGGGAUGGACUCGCGGCUUAUCAGCUUGUUGGUGGGGUAGUGGCUUACCAAGGCCUUGACGGGUAGCCGGCCUGAGAGGGUGACCGGCCACAUUGGGACUGAGAUACGGACCAGAAUCCUACGGGAGGCAGCAGUGGGGAAUAUUGCAAAAUGGGCGGAAGCCUGAUGCAGCAACGCCGCGUGCGGGAUGACGGCCUUCGGGUUGUAAACCGCUUUCGCCUGUGACGAAGCGUGAGUGACGGUAAUGGGUAAAGAAGCACCGGCUAACUACGUG
rnacentral:rRNA from 1 species